rnacentral:tRNA from 1 species
GCGGAAGUGGUGAAAUUGGUAUACACGCCAGAUUUAGGUUCUGGUGCGAAAGCGUGAGGGUUCGAGUCCCUCUUUCCGCA